rnacentral:rRNA from 1 species
UACGGAGGGGGCUAGCGUUGUUCGGAAUUACUGGGCGUAAAGCGCACGUAGGCGGCUUUGUAAGUUAGAGGUGAAAGCCCGGGGCUCAACUCCAGAACUGCCUUUAAGACUGCAUCGCUAGAAUUGUGGAGAGGUGAGUGGAAUUCCGAGUGUAGAGGUGAAAUUCGUAGAUAUUCGGAAGAACACCAGUGGCGAAGGCGGCUCUCUGGGACGGUACUGACGCUGAGACGCGAAAGCGUGGGGAGCGAACAGG